CUCAAGUUCAUAGCCUGCAAGUUCUGCGGCCAGGCGGUGUCUCAUCCACCUCCUGAUGCUGUGCCUGGUUCUCAACAUUGUGGUUGUGAGGUGGAAAAGGAACCGUCAUCCUCCAGCUGUUAAUAUAGUGAUGGAAAUAUUGUUAGGUUGUUCUAAAAGGAGUCGGCACCUCAAGUUCAUAGCCUGCAAGUUCUGCGGCCAGGCGGUGUCUCAUCCACCUCCUGAUGCUGUGCCUGGUUCUCAGCAACAUUGUGGUUGUGAGGUGGAAAAGGAACCGUCAUCCUCCAGCUGUUAAUAUUAGUGAUGGAAAUAUUUUUAGGUUGUUCUAAAAGGAGUCGGCACCUCAAGUUCAUAGCCUGCAAGUUCUGCGGCCAGGCGGUGUCUCAUCCACCUCCUGAUGCUGUGCCUGGUUCUCAACAUUGUGGUUGUGAGGUGGAAAAGGAACCGUCAUCCUCCAGCUGUUAAUAUUAGUGAUGGAAAUAUUUUUAGGUUGUUCUAAAAGGAGUCGGCACCUCAAGUUCAUAGCCUGCAAGUUCUGCAGCCAGGCGGUGUCUUAUCCAACUCAUUAUGCUGUGCCUGGUUGUCAGCAACAUUGUGGUUGUGAGGUGGAAAAGGAACCGUCAUCCUCCAGCUGUUAAUAUUAGUGAUGGAAAUAUUUUAGGUUGUUCUAAAAGGAGUCGGCACCUCAAGUUCAUAGCCUGCAAGUUCUGCGGCCAGGUGGUGUCUCAUCCACCUCCUGAUGCUGUGCCUGGUUCUCAGCAACAUUGUGGUUGUGAGGUGGAAAAGGAACCGUCAUCCUCCAGCUGUUAAUAUUAGUGACGGAAAUAUUGUUAGGUUGUUCUAAAAGGAGUCGGCACCUCAAGUUCAUAGCCUGCAAGUUCUGCGGCCAGGCGGUGUCUCAUCCACCUCCUGAUGCUGUGCCUGGUUCUCAGCAACAUUGUGGUUGUGAGGUGGAAAGGAACCGUCAUCCUCCAGCUGUUAAUAUUAGUGAUGGAAAUAUUUUUAGGUUGUUCUAAAAGGAGUCGGCACCUCAAGUUCAUAGCCUGCAAGUUCUGCGGCCAGGUGGUGUCUCAUCCACCUCCUGAUGCUGUGCCUGGUUCUCAGCAACAUUGUGGUUGUGAGGUGGAAAAGGAACCGUCAUCCUCCAGCUGUUAAUAUUAGUGACGGAAAUAUUGUUAGGUUGUUCUAAAAGGAGUCGGCACCUCAAGUUCAUAGCCUGCAAGUUCUGCGGCCAGGCGGUGUCUCAUCCACCUCCUGAUGCUGUGCCUGGUUCUCAACAUUGUGGUUGUGAGGUGGAAAAGGAACCGUCAUCCUCCAGCUGUUAAUAUUAGUGACGGAAAUAUUGUUAGGUUGUUCUAAAAGGAGUCGGCACCUCAAGUUCAUAGCCUGCAAGUUCUGCGGCCAGGCGGUGUCUCAUCCACCUCCUGAUGCUGUGCCUGGUUCUCAACAUUGUGGUUGUGAGGUGGAAAAGGAACCGUCAUCCUCCAGCUGUUAAUAUCAGUGAUGGAAAUAUUUUUAGGUUGUUCUAAAAGGAGUCGGCACCUCAAGUUCAUAGCCUGCAAGUUCUGCGGCCAGGCGGUGUCUCAUCCACCUCCUGAUGCUGUGCCUGGUUCUCAACAUUGUGGUUGUGAGGUGGAAAAGGAACCGUCAUCCUCCAGCUGUUAAUAUCAGUGAUGGAAAU